CCCAGUAAAAAAAUUGUUUGUCGACACAUUAUUUUUGCCUCUUAAAAUGCUACUCACAAUGAGGCUCAACAUAAAACAUCAUUGAGAUACAGCCAAACAAAAUAUUAAAACAAACAAAUACAAAAGGUGAAAGUCAGCGUAGAUAGAACUGGGGGAUUGUCAUUUAGUAGAUAAGCUCUCCCAUGACUGGAUUCCACCCUCCUGGGUCCUGCAGAGAGAGGCUACAGAAGCCUGUCCAGACGGUCAUCAUCUAAAAUCACAUUCCAAUAUUGAACAUUUUCUGCACAAUAAAAA